CGAUAAUCGAAAUUCAGAUGCUGC
rnacentral:siRNA from 1 species